CACAAAGGUUUGGUCCUAGCCUUAAAAUCAGUUACCACUUAACCUACACAUGCAAGUCUCCGCAUCCCUGUGAGAACGCCCCCAAGCCCUCCUGAGCCAAAGGGGACUGGUAUCAGGCACAAUUCUGCCCAAGACACCUAGCUUCGCCACACCCACAAGGGCCUUCAGCAGUGACUAAUAUUGAAUAUAAGCAACAGCUUGAUUCAGUUAAGGUAAAAAGGGCCGGCAAAUCUGGUGCCAGCCGCCGCGGUUACACCAGCGGCCCAAAUUGAUUUAUGCCGGCGUAAAGAGUGGUUAAACAUUAUACAAAACUAGAGCUAAACAUAGACUGACCCGUCAAACAUCUGUCUAGAGGAAACCCAUAUAACGAAAGUUGCCCUAUUUAAUUCUAAUUGAGCCCACGAAAGCCUGGACACAAACUGGGAUCAGAUACCCCACUAUACCUUGCUGUAAACUUUAACUUACACCCCUAAUCGCCAGGGAACUACGAGCAAAGCUUAAAACCCAAAGGACUUGACGGUGCCCCAUACCCCCUAGAGGAGCCUGUCCUAUAAUCGAUGAUCCCCGUUGAACCUCACCACUUCUAGCCUAUCAGCUUGUAUACUUCCGUCGCCAGCCUACCACGUGAGCGAAAUUCAGUUAGUUCAAUUGGCCCAAUUUCCCUAACACCGCCAAUACGUCAGGUCAAAGUGCAGCAAAUGAAGUGGGAAGAGAUUGGCUACACUUUUUAAUAUAAAAAAUAACGGAAAACAAUAAUGAAACUUUGUCAGAAGGUGGAUUUAGCAGUAAAAAGAAUUCAAAACAUUCCUUUUAAGUUGGCACUGGAGCGUGUACACACCGCCCGUCACCCUCUUCGAUAAAACCUAAUGUAGUAUUUAACAACUUAUCAUACCCCCGAGAAGAGGUAAGUCGUAACAUGGUAAGUAUACCGGAAGGUGUACUUGGAAA
rnacentral:ncRNA from 1 species